rnacentral:rRNA from 1 species
CCUACGGGUGGCAGCAGUGAGGAAUAUUGGUCAAUGGACGAGAGUCUGAACCAGCCAAGUAGCGUGAAGGAUGACUGCCCUAUGGGUUGUAAACUUCUUUUAUAUGGGAAUAAAAUGUUCCACGUGUGGGAUUUUGUAUGUACCAUAUGAAUAAGGAUCGGCUAACUCCGUGCCAGCAGCCGCGGUAAUACGGAGGGUCCGAGCGUUAUCCGGAUUUAUUGGGUGUAAAGGGAGCGUAGGUGGAUUGUUAAGUCAGUUGUGAAAGUUUGGGGCUCAACCGUAAAAUUGCAGUUGAAACUGGCAGUCUUGAGUACAGUAGAGGUGGGCGGAAUUCGUGGUGUAGCGGUGAAAUGCUUAGAUAUCACGAAGAACUCCGAUUGCGAAGGCAGUUCACUGGACUGCAACUGACACUGAGGCUCGAAAGUGUGGGUAUCAAACAGGAUUAGAUACCCCGGUAGUC